CCUACGGGAGGCAGCCGUGGGGAAUAUUGCACAAUGGGGGAAACCCUGAUGCAGCGACGCCGCGUGAGUGAAGAAGUAAUUCGUUAUGUAAAGCUCUAUCAGCAGGGAAGAAAAUGACGGUACCUUAGUAAGAAGCCCCGGCUAACUACGUGCCAGCAGCAGAGGGAAUACGUCGGGGGCAAGCGUUAUCCGGAUUUACGGGGUGUAAAGGGAGCGUAGACGGCAGUGCAAGUCUGGAGUGAAAGGCGGGGGCUCAACCCCCGGACUGCUCUGGAAACUGUACGGCUGGAGUGCAGGAGAGGUAAGUGGAAUUGCUAGUGUAGCGGUGAAAUGCGUAGUGAUUAGGAGGAACACCAGUGGCGAAGGCGGCUUACUGGACUGUAACUGACGUUGAGGCUCGAAAGCGUGGGGAGCAAACAGGAUUAGAUACCCCUGUAGUC
rnacentral:rRNA from 1 species